rnacentral:rRNA from 1 species
CCUACGGGAGGCAGCAGUGGGGAAUAUUGCACAAUGGGGGAAACCCUGAUGCAGCGACGCCGCGUGAGUGAAGAAGUAAUUCGUUAUGUAAAGCUCUAUCAGCAGGGAAGAAAAUGACGGUACCUGAGUAAGAAGCCCCGGCUAACUACGUGCCAGCAGCCGCGGUAAGACGUAGGAGGCAAGCGUUAUCCGGAUUUACUGGGGGUAAAGGGAGCGUAGACGGCAGGGCAAGUCUGGAGUGAAAGUCGGGGGCUCAACCCCCGGACUGCUCUGGAAACUGUACGGCUGGAGUGCAGGAGAGGUAAGUGGAAUUCCUAGUGUAGCGGUGAAAUGCGUAGAUAUUAGGAGGAACACCAGUGGCGAAGGCGGCUUACUGGACUGUAACUGACGUUGAGGCUCGAAAGCGUGGGGAGCAAACAGGAUUAGAUACCCGGGUAGUC